rnacentral:sRNA from 14 species
UGGUGUGAGAGCAUUCCAGCUGUGACGUAUCAAACCCGACUGUGGACAGGACAUGUUCAGCUGAUCUAGCUCUUGAGGAGGACGUUCCCUUCUUCCUUCCUCUCUCACCACCCUCUGUGUUCCCUUCUACAAACUUGAUGCUUAUUUGAAGAGGAUUGGUCUUCCCUCAGAGAGGAGGACUAUUAUUUGGGGAAAUGGAUACAUUUUGCUACUAUAACUUCCAAACAGACUCAGACUCCUUAGGCUCUUCCUUUACAGAGCCUGCCCCA